AUUGAACGCUGGCGGCAGGCCUAACACAUGCAAGUCGAGCGGAUGAGUGGAGCUUGCUCCAUGAUUCAGCGGCGGACGGGUGAGUAAUGCCUAGGAAUCUGCCUGGUAGUGGGGGACAACGUUUCGAAAGGAACGCUAAUACCGCAUACGUCCUACGGGAGAAAGCAGGGGACCUUCGGGCCUUGCGCUAUCAGAUGAGCCUAGGUCGGAUUAGCUAGUAGGUGAGGUAAUGGCUCACCUAGGCGACGAUCCGUAACUGGUCUGAGAGGAUGAUCAGUCACACUGGAACUGAGACACGGUCCAGACUCCUACGGGAGGCAGCAGUGGGGAAUAUUGGACAAUGGGCGAAAGCCUGAUCCAGCCAUGCCGCGUGUGUGAAGAAGGUCUUCGGAUUGUAAAGCACUUUAAGUUGGGAGGAAGGGUAGUAACCUAAUACGUUGCUACUUUGACGUUACCGACAGAAUAAGCACCGGCUAACUUCGUGCCAG
rnacentral:rRNA from 1 species